UCUCUUUUUAUCCAAUUCCACACGUUUUCUUAUACGUACCUCAUACCUCUCUUCUCAAAACACUAAUCAGAAAAAGAAAAAAAUACAGAUAAAAACCAACCCUUUUUUUUGAAGAACAUGAGAUAAACUCACCAAAAACGAUAACCCAUAUUCAGUUUUAACCUCACCAAAACGAUAAAUCUCACCAUAAAAUUCGACCAAAAUCACUCCCUCCAUCAAUUUUACCGAAUAAACAACCUAAAUCUACAGAUCAAAUCCUAACGGUUAUGAACCCUAGCUUUCAACAAUCUCAAAAAAAAAACAGAUGAAAUCAACGAUUAAAGGUUCUUACAAACAUGUAUUGACAAGGAUAUGCACAUGAAAUUCAAAACUAAAUGGAACAGACACCUUGCCGGAAUUUUAAGGCUCCGACGAGUCUUCCGGAGGUUAUGAGUAUACGUUAGGCGAGUCAAAAUGUAUCUUUCCUCUGUUUAUUUCCUCCUUGUGUGAUGCUUUUCACCUUCUGAAUCUUGCUUCUACUAUGAUUCUUCCUCUGUGUAUGGCUGUUUGGUUUGUUGUUUACACUGUAGUUAUGGUGUAUGGGUUUGUGUUUAAGUUUUGGAUUAUGAUCACCUUCUUCAAAGCUUUGGCAUGAAGCUCUGAUAAGGUUAGGGGUUUUAAACUCUGAGUAAGAAAAAAUAAUUUAGAAUUUUGCAGUUUUUUUUUUGUUUUAAAAAUGUAUCUGUUUGAAAAAUGUUUCAAUAUUUUUGUUUGAAAUUUUUCUUAUCGUCCUUUUUAUGUGUUGCUAGCUGCCUUCUUAUAUUUUUAUAGUUUUGAAAGUAUGUGUGUUAAAGAAGAAAAAAGAGAGAGAUGGACAUGCUCUUUAGCUUGCUGUAGAAAGAAAGAACAAAAUAAUGUGCAAACAAGACAAAAAACAAUCCCUUUCCAAGGGAAUCAAUCCAAACAAAAACAACAAAUCUCUCUUGAGAGCACCACCUAGACAUACCUUUCUUUUGUAAUUUUGCUAUUUUUUUAAUGUAAAACAUGUGUGUUAUUAUUAUAAUGUAAAGCUUAAAUUUCUA